UUUGACUAUACGAAGGUAUUGAAAUAAGAUUUUAAAUGAGUGCUAAGAGAAUGAUUAAACAAUUAAAAGCUUUCUUUAAUUGAAUAAUUGAAUUUAAUUUUUUAGUGCAAAAGCAAAAAUAAAAAUUAGGGACAAGAAGACCCUAUGAAUUUUUUAUUAAAUUUUAUAAAACUUUAUAUAAAAUUUAAUUUAAUUGGGGUGAUGGAAAAAGAAUAAAUAUCUUUUUUUAAAAAGAAAAUUGGUUCCGUUUUUAGCGAUUAAAUGAAAAAAAUACUCUAGGGAUAACAGCGUAAUAAUUUUGGAUAGUUCAUAUAGAUAAAAUAGUUUGCGACCUCGAUGUUGGAUUAGGAU
rnacentral:rRNA from 1 species